UACAGGGGGUGCAAACGUUGCUCGGAAUCAUUGGGCGUAAAGCGCACGUAGGCGGUUCGUUAUGUCGGAUGUGAAAGCCCUUGGCUUAACCGAGGAAGUGCAUCCGAAACUGGCGAGCUAGAGUACGAAAGAGGAUGCGGAAAUUCCCGGUGUAGAGGUGAAAUUCGUAGAUAUCGGGAGGAACACCGGUGGCGAAGGCGGCGAUCUGGGUCGAUACUGACGCUGAGGUGCGAAAAGCGUGGGGAGCAAACAGG
rnacentral:rRNA from 1 species